GGAUCUCUUCGGAUUGAAACUUAUCUGAGUGAGCGGCGGACGGGUGAGUAACGCGUGGGUAACCUGCCUCAUACAGGGGGAUAACAGUUAGAAAUGGCUGCUACUACCGCAUAAGCGCACAGGACCGCAUGGUCUGGUGUGAAAAACUCCGGUGGUAUGAGAUGGACCCGCGUCUGAUUAGCUAGUUGGAGGGGUAACGGCCCACCAAGGCGACGAUCAGUAGCCGGCCUGAGAGGGUGAACGGCCACAUUGGGACUGAGACACGGCCCAGACUCCUACGGGAGGCAGCAGUGGGGAAUAUUGCACAAUGGGGGAAACCCUGAUGGCAGCGACGCCGCGUGAAGGAAGAAGUAUCUCGGUAUGUAAACUUCUAUCAGCAGGGAAGAAAAUGACGGUACCUGACUAAGAAGCCCCGGCUAACUACGUGCCAGCAGCCGCGGUAAUACGUAGGGGGCAAGCGUUAUCCGGAUUUACUGGGUGUAAAGGGAGCGUAGACGGAAGAGCAAGUCUGAUGUGAAAGGCUGGGGCUUAACCCCAGGACUGCAUUGGAACUGUUUUUCUAGAGUGCCGGAGAGGUAAGUGGAAUUCCUAGUGUAGCGGU
rnacentral:rRNA from 1 species